UUUCCCUGUGAUGCUUUGAACCAUGCUAAUCCUGAUUAUUUCAUGAUUAUAGUUGUCUAAAUAUUCUGAGGGAACA